GCCCCCUUAGCUCAGCAGGUAGAGCGUGUGACUGUUAAUCACAAGGUCGGCAGUUCGAGUCUGCCAGGGGGCG
rnacentral:tRNA from 1 species